rnacentral:rRNA from 1 species
UAUUAUUCUCAAUACAAAAAUAAUAAGUUUAGGUAGUAAUAGUUAGAGUCUUGAAACCUAAAGAAUUUGGCGGUGCUUUAGUCCUUUCAGAGGAAUCUGUCCUAUAAUUGAAAGUACACGAGAUUAAACACUUAAUUUAAUAAGUUUGUAUACCGCCGUCGUAAGAAUAUUUUAAAGAGAUUAAUUUUCGUGUAUAUAUUUAUUAAUAGUUAUGUCAGGUCAAGGUGCAGUUUAUAAUUAAGAAGAGAUGGAUUACAAUAGUUUAUAACUAAACGGAUAAUUAAGGUAGAAUUGAUUAUGAAGGUGGAUUUGAUAGUAAAUUUAAUUUUUACUAAAUUGAUUUAGGCUCUAAAGCAUGCACACAUCGCCCGUCGCUCUCAUUAUAAGUGAG